CAUAUAAUAUGAGAUGGAGGGUCAGCAUUGGCUCAGUGCUAACAUGACCUCUGCCAAGACGGCUAGACCCAGACUCAACGGGCUGCACCGUCCACCCAGUGGCUGUGCACCCACACCCUGACCCAACGGUCCCGUCGGUCCUGGAACUAUUACUUUUGGCUACAUGGUUUUAUGUUGCUGGAUUGUGAUUGUAAGGUGUUUGUGAAUACGCCGCAGUGAAAUCCGCAAGUACGAGAAGAGCACAGAGCUGCUGCAAAACCCCUCAGCACAGUUUGACCGUUCGCCUCAGGCACCAAAAAACUCAAGACCGGCCGUGACGUGAUGACUAGUUCCAAAGAAGUAGUAGGCAAUAAGCCUCAUGCUGUAUGUACUCCGCUUCCACUUCCAAGCCAUGUAACGGCAAUGCUAAAACUUGCAAAGCUCCUCCACCACAAAGGCUUUCACAUUACUUUUGUUAACACAGAGUACAACCACAAGCGCUUUCUUAACUCUCUUGGCCCCAGCUCCCUCGAUGGCUUGCCUGACUUUCGGUAUGAAACAAUCCCAGAUGGCCUUUCAGAUAACGAUACCCGCCAAGAGUUCCCUUUGCUUCAGGAGUCCAUCAGAAAGAAUUUCUUGGCUCCGUUGCUUAACCUCCUCAAGAAACUGAAUGACAGGAAUCCCCCAGUGACUUGUAUGGUUUCAGAUGGUUUUAUGACAUCGACCAUCACAGCUGCUAAACAGCUUGGAAUUCCUAUUGCCGUCUUCUUUCCUUUUGCUGCAGCCGGCUUCAUGGGCUCUAAACAAUAUCCUAUUUUGGUGGAAAAAGGACUUGCACCUUUGAAAGACAAGAGCUGCUUGACAAAUGGAUUUUUGGAGAUGGUAAUUGAUUGGGUUCCAGGAAUGAAGGGUAUCCGUUUGAGGGAUCUCCCGACUUGCUUUCGAGUUACAGAUCCGAAUGACCUUGUGUUUAAAUUCUCCUUGGAAGCAGUUGAAAGAGUUCAUGAAGCUUCAGCAGUUGUUGUUCAUACUUUUGAUGCAUUGGAGCCAGAUGUUUUGAGUGCUCUGUCAUCUAUACCUCCACCUGUUUAUUCCAUUGGCCCUCUCCAAUUGCUUCUCAAUCAAUUUCCACAAGACCAUUUGAAGCCUAUGGGAUAUAGUAUGUGGAAAGAAGAAACCGAGUGCCUUGAAUGGUUAAACACCAAGGCACGAAAUUCAGUUGUUUAUGUGAAUUUUGGCAGCUUAAUAUCCCUGACACCACAACAGCUUUUGGAGUUUGGUUGGGGACUUGCAAAUAGUAAGCUUCCCUUCUUGUGGGCAAUUAGGCCUGAUUUGGUUAUUGGUGAAUCAGCGAUUUUUCCACCAGAGUUUGAGUUUGAAACCAAAGAAAGAGGUUUACUAGUGAGUUGGUGCCCCCAAGAGCAAGUCCUGAACCAUCCGUCAGUUGGCGGGUUUUUGACGCACAGCGGUUGGAAUUCAACCAUUGAGAGCUUGUCUGCAGGAGUGCCUAUGCUCUGUUGGCCCUUCUUUGCCGACCAGACAACCAACUGUUACUAUACUUACAAUGAAUGGGGGAUCGGCAUGGAGAUUGAUAAUGAUGUGAAGAGAGAUGAAGUGGAGAAGCUUGUUAGAGAGUUAAUGGAAGGGGAGAAGGGCAAGAAAAUGAAAAACAAGGUAAUGGAGUGGAAGAAACUUGCUGAAGAAGCUACGGGUCCACAGGGUUCUUCGACUAGAAAUUUGGACAAUUUGGUGAAUCAAGUGCUAUUAAGAAAAGGAUAGAUCCUGUAUCCGUAAAAAUCUCUACUGUUACAACGGGAAGAACAAUGCUUUGAAAUUGCAUAGCGUGCGUGAUUAAAAUACAAUGGGAAGAACAAUGCUUUGAAAUUAUUGUAACCAUUGUAAAGCCCAAAUUUUAUAGAAGAGCGGAAUCUGAUGAUUAUAUUUAUAAUGGAUGGAUUCGUCGCACUACAUUUUUUGCAUGACUUUU